AUGUGGCAGAUCUAAUGCCUUAAAUUUAAGAUUUAAUUAUAAACAAAUUUCUUUAGAA
rnacentral:tRNA from 1 species